rnacentral:lncRNA from 1 species
GACCAAGCUCCACAUUUCAUGUCUCCUUAGCCUGGACUUGAAGACCUUCCACAUCACAAGAACCUGCCAAUUGUGACACGUUCACCAACACACAGCUGAUUUAGCCACAGAAUGGGAGAC